AUGAGACCAAGCAGUGGUGGUCAUAAAGAUGACGGCAGAGACGAAGAAAACAGUGGCGACAACCUUGAAGAUCCACAGCGAUGCCGCCGCUCAACGUCAGAUUUAAAUUUUUUAUAUUUUUUGGAAUCGCCUUUUCAUUAUGAAUCUCAAUUUCUAACUCUUUUGCAUAAAACACGGGAUAAUCAAGCAGAUCUACAAGAUUCACAUGAAAAAAUGGAUGAUGUCUAG